AUAUACUUGGAAACAAACAGCAAAACAAAUAUAGCAGGCUUAUACAAAGCAGAGAUGGCAACCAAAGCUUCUGUAACAUACUAUAUUAUGCUGUCAAAAUCUAGAGCAAUACACAGAGGAAAUUGCUUUAUCAACAGAAUCUGCUGGUGAUCUGAAAAACAGGUAUUUAUACAUAGUUUCUAAAUGAUGGAUUUGAGGGUCAUUUGCUGAUGCCUGCUGAGGGGCCUGUGCCUGGUGAAAGUUUACAGAGCAUCUUGUACACUCUACUCCCCCAGAAAUACUGAAUGGAACCUGCUUGUAGGAACCCCAAGAGUGAAUGAGCUGCUGAAAAGGGGAAACAGAACCAGAAUUUGGAGGAAAACUAAAGCAGGAAUGGGGAAGGAGAUCUUAGUCUGCGACAUGGAUUCAGAAAUCUGCAAGCAUAUUCACAUGAAGGCUAGGAUCACAGGAUGGCUAAAGACAUCAGGAACAUCUUGUGAGCACAUUUGGCUACUCCUGCAGGCAAGGUUAGCUCUUUCUGUCAAUAUUACACAUAAAAUGGUAGGCUUACACGUUCUUGUUCUCAAUGCAAUUUGUAAGAAAACUAAUAAAUGACCUCUAGAUAGAUACUUUAAAGGUGAAUGAGAAAACUUCUGUAGUUGACUUCACUUCAGUCAGUGCCUGUCUGCACUGACUGUCCUCAAAUCUAGGGAAAUUGUAGACCUGGGAACAUGGGCACUGACUGGUGUUUGGUCAAUUCUGAGUGCUUGUCUGUGUAUCGGCUCGCUUGUGUUCCUUGUCCUCCUUCCUUGCCACAAAUAUUUACCUUGCUCUUCCUUCCUUUCAUUUCUAUAGAUAAUUCCUUGCCAUCUCUUUCCACUGUUCAGUAUCUUCCCUGUUGUUUUCUUGUCACAAUGAAUGAUCUAGCAAUAGUAAUGCAGUUACAGAGCACUUUAGCAGUGUAGCUUCCUGAAGGGAUCAAGUACCCAAACCUAGGACAGGGACUUCUGGUUUUGCAGCACAAAAAUAUGAGCUUCGUCUCCCCUUGUGCUUGUGAGCACUGACUUCAUGGUGUGAUGUUGUGGCACCUUGGAAAUCAGCUUGUAAAAAAUGUAAAAUUAAACAGGCCCACAGGUUCAUAAAAUUUAGUAACAAUACACAUCGUUCUGUAUUGCGGAUCUCCACUGUGGGUGGAUGCUGUUCUUAACACGUUUUUAGCCACCUUUGAUUUCACCAGCCAAAAAAAGAGCAGUAUUUUGACAAGUCGUAACAAUUGGCACUGCAUACCUACAGGUACUAAUUUUCCUGCCGACCGAGCCUUUGACAGGUGAUUUUCGUGCAGUGCCGUUCAGCAGCCGGGAGGUGGGGCACAGACUUUGCCGGUUCGCGUCGGUAUGCUGAGUUGCACGGUCUGAUGCUGAGCUCUCGUUUGGGGAUUUAUUAGGUUCAGCAGAGAUAAAGCAGCAGCAGAUUGCAGAUUAACGUUUCAGAAGUAAAAUACGAGGAAAAAAUGAGUGUUUUUUAAGAUCUCACUCAAAAAUGAAGCUAGCCAGCCUGGAGCUAGCAAAGGCUUGCACACCCAAGUGGCAUGGGCAAGAAAUAGAGGAAUAAAGAAGAGCAGGGAACCAAACAGAAGUCAAUGUCAUGUGGCUAUCAUCUGCCACUGGUCCUGAAACUGUUUUGGGCAGCAAUUAUCUGGAACACUAGGUUGCACAGAUUUCAGCAUGAAAUGGAUGUCUUUUCUGUAUUAAUAGCAAGGACCAGGCAAAAUCCAGUUGAAAAGGAAACACAUACAUUUGAAUAUGAAUAUUUGAGGUUUCAGUUCUAGGGUGACAAACAGACAAAUGUGGCUUCUCGUGACAAGAUAACAACAACCCUGCUUUGGUACCCAUGAAAAAUUUGUUCCCCUCUCCAUUCUGGUGCCUGGCUUCAUUGCAGUCAGUGCACACCUCUGUUUAGGAGCACAUAGUAAAAGGGGCAUUCAGAUUUUUGGAAAAUUCCACAACUGCCCAUAAAUAUCUGCUCAGAGAGAGCAUUGCUACUGAUUUAUUAAGUAUGCCACAAUGUUAGCAUAUUUAUCCACUCCUAAUUAACUUAAACUGUUGUGUAGUUUAUAAAAUUGCAUCCUCUGGAUGUACUUCCCAAAACACUCUGCAGGUAAAGUUCUGUGUUAACACACCUCAUUAGCAUCAUGUCCUAAAUAGCAAUAGACUUGGGCUUUUCCCUUGAGAGUGUAGAGUCAAAGGCCUUUAACUACACAGUGGCACUGGUUCCUAAAUAUUUGUGUCUGGCAUAUGUUCCAUGCUGCAUCUGAGCUGCUCUCAGCUCCUGGGAUGAAAGGUAACAAUGAGACUGUUACAACAGCCAAGUGCUUUAUCAGUCAGAGGUGUCAUGAAAAAGCCUUUCCACUGCCCUCAUCUCCCACACCUGAGAAUAUAGAGACACAUUGCAUUGCCCAUCUUAAAACCUGCUGGUAAUUUACACAAUAAUAGGGCCUGUCAGAAUUCGGCCCUAUUAAAAAUUACUCAUGCCUAGAAACCACCAUCUUCCUCUCCCCCCGCGUUUUCCAGGUGAAGAAGGGAAUUAACAUCCCAUUUUCAGCUACCAGUGCCGUGACGCUACUCCUGACAUUGCUGCUGGUGCUAUAAAAGCAGAGUCCCACAGGUUGUCUCCUUGGUUGGUGAGAAACUGGAAAUGCCUCUCUGAGCAUAGCUGGACAAUCCUGCUCAGCUUGACUGCAGAGAGCGUGGCUGUGGCGCCUGCUGUGAAAAGGACUUUUCCAAGGAAACAAAGCAAUGAAGAAGUGACGGUGACCAGACCUGGACUAGCUAAGCUGUAAUAAGGUACAAGACAUUGCCUGAGGCUAUGCCAGAGGCCAGCCCACCAGGACAGGCUAAUCAGGGGCAUGGACGGUAUUUUGGGCUUUGUCUGAUGUUAACCCUCUGUAUUUUGGGUUUUGUCUCACCUUAACCUCCAGUCCUGCAUUGGAGCAGCACACACAGCACUCUGUGGUUUCCACUAAGAGCAGCUCUGAGUAGCCUUACUCCAAAACCCUUCAGUGGGAAGGAAAAUCAUUUAGAGCAAUUCAUCUGAAGAAGAAAAGCUUAACAGCACGGUAUACUUUGGUGUGUGUGGCACAAGCCUUUCUGUCCCCUCAAGGUUCCUAAUUUUCCAGAUUUCCCAGCUGUUCUGUGCCUGCAUCUCUCCUUUCAGCUCCCUCCUUUGCAGCAAGACCCAAGGGUUUUGCACCCAGUUUUCCCUGAUUCUCGUUGGUCUGACAGAUGUCCCAGUCAUAAGGUUAGAUCUGAAUACCAGGCAUCUUAUACCUGCAGAAAAAAAGGUUGCUACUUGGUUAUUUCCCCUGUCUUGUUUUGUGCAUUGAGCUCUUUGUAUUCAAGCUGCGCACCCGAUCUUUCUCAGACAAUUUCUCUCUUGUUAUUUUCUCUUAUAGUCUCCCACAGCAACGUCCCCAAAGUUAUCUAAUAAACAGGGAUGUUAUGACAUCCUUGCACAAUAACUCUAAAUACCAUCACAGGAAACAUCACCUAAUAAACGAUACAAUUACUGCAAAGAUGAAAACCAGCGUUCCUGAGCACACACAGUGAGUUGUUCUUUGUCUUGUCGAACAAAUUAUUACCAUUUUUUUUUUCCUUGAGUGCUUUGUUUUGUCUUGCUUUGCUUUUCAAGUUGCCUCUUAUUUUUCCUCAUUGCUUGUGAUCGCAUGCAAGAAAUGUAUAUCUCUGGGCACAGAAAUACAAAGUGCAGCCGUUCAGAGCUGCCACUGGAAUGCAGGUCCACCCAGUUCGUUUUUUUCCUAUCGUACUGGGUGGAGUGGCUCCACAGACACUCCUAUACACACCCUUUCUUUUUUUGGUACCGUUAAUUAUUUUAAGCUACACUGCAGGUUGGUGGCAUAGCUUAUUACCAUGGAAAAUGGGCAGUUCCUCUCCUUCUGUGGCGACUAGUAAGUAAUGAAAAGUUUUGAGCUUGAUUUAUUCUGACUUCCACCACGUCUUGCUGAUUUAUCUAUUAUGGUCUGAAAAAAAAAGGCCAAUUAAACCCAGCGGUUAAACCAGACAGAUAGAAGGGCAUGCAUUUUCCUAUCAAAAGGUGUUUCUGAAACAAAAAUGAAGACAGGCUUGAAGCCAAUAAAUGGUAUCUCUCGCUUCAACCUGCGGGCAGCACUGCCCAGUGAGUGCUGGCUCUGCAGUGGCAGGAGCAUCUCGUUACCUCCCUGCUUAGCUUUGGUACCACCUUCAGCCCCAGCAGUGCGCUACAAAGGAGCCCGAUCGCUGUAUUUUAAUGAUCUGUCUUGUUCACAAGAGCAGAGCCAGCAGCAGCCAAAGGGAGAGCAGUUGUUGGCCAACCAAAACACAGCUGUUGCAGCUCAUUUUGAAGUCCACCAGCCUUUUCUGCUGGCCCUUUUCAGAGAUUAAGCUUAAUCUCCUCUAUAUGAGGCUUAUGUCACCUUAUUCGAGAAUGGUUUUCACUGAGGGCCUUUGAGUUUUUUCCUCUUUACCUCAUCCUUUGUGGUUAUGGCAGGGAAACGGCUUUCAUAGAAAUGUACCCAGGCAAAAAGCAAAGCUGAGCAAAACCUGUGUGGCUCUGCCACGCAGCCACCAGCCAGGCCAAGGCGCACAAGAGCUCACAGACUUCCUGAGAACACAGGGGUUGAUAUUUGGUAUUCUGUCAAAAUCAGCUUUAUCUCAAAUCCAGAUGUGAGCAAAGCGUGGGAGAAGGGACAGUUGUCUGGUCUGCAUGGAUCAAAAUUUCAUCAAAAAGUGCUGCGAGCUGCAGCACAGUGAAGCAGCCGAGUUCGACCAGCCUCCCUGCCUGCCUCUGUCUGUGCUGUGUGACGGCCAAAGCAGAGAUAUAACUAACCCCUCUCCUCUGCCAAGAAACUCCCUGCGUUGGUUUAUCCAGAAGGGCUUCUGCAUCAAAGAUAGCCUCUGGUGUGGGGGUUAUGUUCCAGGUCUGCUUUUAGGGGAGAGCUGUUCCAAGAGAGGUUGAAAGUCUAUCUUCGGGUCUGUGAUUAUAGUAAAGCCUGGACUGGAGCUUUUUUGGCUGCUUGCAUGUCACAGCACUUUUCUAAUGACCACUGGUUGCUGCCUCAGUUGAAUAGGUUUCCUAGAUUAACCAGGAAAAAAAGAAAAAAAAAAACAACACUCCACCCUUGGUUCUUUUUCAUUUUAUAAUUAUCUGGUGUUUCUACGGAGCUGCUCUUUUAUCCUUAUAUUUUGCUCUUGCCUGAAUGUGCUCAGUGCCUUGCAAUUAAAAGGAAGCAGCUCUAUGUAGUUCCCAACCUGAGAUCACAUGCUGCAAAUCCUUGCUCAUUAGAGCAGUCCCACCAGAGCGAAUGAGGCUGUUCCACAUCAGGUCUGCUUGCUUUGCGAAGUUUAGGAGGUUCUGACCUUAAGUUGUGUGUUUUAAAAUGUCAGCAAAAUGUUCUCUGACUCACCGUUAAUAGUAUAAUUGCUAAUGUGGUGAAUAUCCAAAAAAAAAAAAAUCCAAAUGUGUUUAUAUAACUAUCAGAAAACUUGCAUUCCCAAAGGGAAGGAGCAGUUGUACUUUCAACAUCACUUGUGUUUUGGCCUAGAGGUGUCCUAUGUGCUGUGCCAAAAAGUAAUAAUGCAAGGGACCGGGUCAACAUAGGACUGAACUUAUUGAAAAUUCCUUACCUGUGCUACUUGGCAAUGCAAUGAGGUAUUCAAAGAAGGGAAGAGUUUUAAAAAUAA